rnacentral:sRNA from 1 species
CUGUGGAGUGUACAAGAACUUGUGAGUAGCGUAUUGCAUGCAAUCGCCAAAGCAUACACAUUGAAGCAGUAA